UGCGGCGAAAGCAGCGCCGGGAAAGAGCAAGCUUAAGUCCACAAAGCGGGCGAGAUCUGCCUCUGGUUCUGCAAAAGCUAUAUCAGAUUCAUCUCGGUCCGUGCCAGGAUAUGACCGGGAGUUAGUCCCCAGGCGUUGGGACGACGACGGCAGACCCAUCUACACCAGACGUGGCCGUCAAAUCGUCAUGGACAUGAAGACACGCAUGCGCAAUCAAGCCCCAGAACUCGUGGAGAGAGAACUCCGAGGCGGACGAAUCGUCAUCACAGAAAAGCGACAUAAGAAAUGAAUACCCUUUAUUAGCAGCAAUGAUAACACAUACAUUAGGUAACAGCAAUUUUAUUUCAGGUAAAUGUAUAUUCUGUUUUUUACAAACACUGAAUGAGCUUUCUGAUAACAAAGAAUGUAUCAAAGCAAAUACAUUUUUAAUCGACUUUUGCUCAAGAAAGAUGAGGCUCUCUCAUUAUACAACAUAUAAAUUCUAGGCAAGAAUAGGCACGUAUGUGUGCAUCAUUUGGACAGAAGUCUUAAUACAAUUGUAUUACCUCAAGAAAUUCACUGUAUUGUUCUUACACAAUAGGACAUUGUUCAGCGGUCUAUAUUUUGUAAUGUUAACACUUAACUGUUCAGAACAAAGCAUUUGUGCUAUAUUUGUGCUAUUCAUAGCGUUUGAUUUAACUUCCUUGAUCUUUAUGCAUUUUCGUAAAAAUAAAAAGAUGUUGGAAUUCAUACAACUGUUUGCAUAGAUAAACUUGA